AAUAUAUAUUAUUUGUUAUGAUUGUUUCUUGUUUUAUAUAUUUUGUAGAAGUUGCACCCACUCCUGAUCCCAAUGAAGAAGAUUCUGUUAUUGAGUCUGAUUGAGUACAUCUUGUUAUGGUUGGUUUGCAUUAAGAAGUUUAGCUAUUUUGUUGGAGAAGGCACCAUAACUUUGCUAUCAGUUUAAUGACAAUUUAUUUUUAUUUUUAGUUGUGUUGACUGUUGAACUAUUGAACUUCUUUAAUUGUCCUAUUUGAAUUCUGUUGUCGUUAAAUUUCAUUAGAUCGAGACUUUGUUAGCUAUUGUGUAUUUCGGUUUGUCGAUUUCAAUGUUAUGACUUUGCAUAA